rnacentral:rRNA from 1 species
GAUGAACGCUGGCGGCGUGCCUAAUACAUGCAAGUCGAACGAGCAGUUUUCGGGCUGCGAGUGGCGAACGGGUGAGUAACGCGUUGGUGACCUGCCCCGAAGUGGGGGAUACCAGCUCGAAAGGGCUGCUAAUACCCCAAGUGAUCAUCAGGAUUAGAAGCUGGUGAUGAAAGGCCCGUAAGGGUCGCUUUGGGAGGGACCUGCGUCCCAUCAGCUAGUUGGUGAGGUAAUGGCUUACCAAGGCGAUGACGGGUAGCUGGCCUGAGAGGGUGACCAGCCUCGAUGGGACUGAG